rnacentral:rRNA from 1 species
AUGCCUAAGAUAAAGUUAGGCCGUGUCGAAUAUACUGAAGGGUGGGUUCUUAUUGAACCCACAAUCCGUGAGCUGGAUGCCAAAAUUAGAGAAGCUGAAAAUGAUACACAUGACAGGAAGAGAAAGUGUGAAGCACUCUACCCAAUUUUCCGCAUUUCAAGAAGCCAUUACAUUUAUGAUCUUUUCUAUAGAAGAAGGAAGGAUAUAUCAAAUGAGCUGUAUGUGUUUUGCCUGGACCAGGGUUAUGCAGACCGUAAUCUGAUUGUAAAGUGGAAAAGGAUAGAAACCUUGAUAAAGGAAAAGCUUGUCAUCCUUGAAUGUCUUGUCACCAUACUCCCUGACAUGAGAACCGAUAUUGGAGUCAUUUGGGGGUGCCGUUCUUGCUUUAACCACCUCGUUCCUGCUUUCGCCCAGCCUCAAGGGUGCAAUCAAUCAAAGAGAUGUUGA